rnacentral:rRNA from 1 species
UUAUUUGAGAGUUUGAUCCUGGCUCAGGAUGAACGCUGGCGGCGUGCCUAACACAUGCAAGUUGAGCGAUUUACUUCGGUAAAGAGCGGCGGACGGGUGAGUAACGCGUGGGUAACCUACCCUGUACACACGGAUAACAUACCGAAAGGUAUGCUAAUACGGGAUAAUAUAUUUGAGAGGCAUCUCUUGAAUAUCAAAGGUGAGCCAGUACAGGAUGGACCCGCGUCUGAUUAGCUAGUUGGUAAGGUAACGGCUUACCAAGGCGACGAUCAGUAGCCGACCUGAGAGGGUGAUCGGCCACAUUGGAACUGAGACACGGUCCAAACUCCUACGGGAGGCAGCAGUGGGGAAUAUUGCACAAUGGGCGAAAGCCUGAUG